GCCUUGCCAGCCCGCUCAGAACUCAAAGGAAUUGACGGGGGCCCGGCACAAGCGGAGGAGCAUGUGGUUUAAUUCGAUGAUACGCGAGGAACCUUACCUGGGCUCGAACGUAAGAUGACUGUAGGUGAAAGCUUACAUCUCUUCGGAGCAUUUUACGAGGUGCUGCAUGGUUGUCGUCAGCUCGUGCCGUGAGGUGUCGGGUUAAGUCCCAUAACGAGCGCAACCCCUACCUUUAGUUGCCAUCAGGUUAAGCUGGGGACUCUAAAGGAACUGCCUACGCAAGUAGUGAGGAAGGCGGGGAUGACGUCAAAUCAGCACGGCCCUUACGUCCAGGGCUACACACGUGCUACAAUGGCCGAUACAGAGGGCAGCUACCUGGUGACAGGAUGCAAAUCUCCAAAGUCGGUCUCAGUUCGGAUCGGAGUCUGCAACCCGACUCCGUGAAGUUGGAUUCGCUAGUAAUCGCGCAUCAGCCAUGGCGCGGUGAAUACGUUCCCGGGCCUU
rnacentral:rRNA from 1 species